rfam:Triticum urartu cultivar G1812 contig621989, whole genome shotgun sequence.
CAAGUACUCCCUCCGUCCCAAAAUUCUUGUCUUAGAUUUGUCUAAAUACGGAUGUAUCUAGUUACGUUUUAGUGUUAGAUACAUCUGUAUCUAGACAAAUCUAAGACAAGAAUUUUGGGACGGAGGGAGUACAUG